CCCCUUUCCCAAAGAAUGUUCUUGAUCUAUAUUAGGGGGGCUGGUUUUCCAGAUAUGGUAAUAAAUGGACAAUGAAAUAAACCCAUUGGACCCGGGGGCGGUACCCGGCGCCUCCACCUGAGUAUAACUAAAAAGGUUAUAUUUUGGUGGGGGCGAAAUAGGAUCGACAAGGGCGUAAAGAUUGCUCUUUUACCCGGCAUUGUACCACCGUCAUCGGACUAAAUGAGUAGUUGCAAACGACAACUAUGCGGAGGCACGCCUCGCCGCUUAACCGUGGUGCGGAAGCUUCAAGUGAGUCUUAAACCGUCGCAGGUUUAAGCGGGGUUCGGAGGCACCUGGCAACAGAAGCCUUCACU
rnacentral:tmRNA from 1 species